UCGAACGAAGGCCCUAGCUUGCUAGGUGUCCUUAGUGGCGCACGGGUGAGUAACACGUGGGAACAUACCUCAUAGUACGGAAUAACUGCGGGAAACUGUAGCUAAUACCGUAUAUUCCAGAAAUGGGAAAGAUUUAUCGCUAUGAGAUUGGCCCGCGCAAGAUUAGCUUGUUGGUAAGGUAACGGCUUACCAAGGCUCCGAUCUUUAGCUGGUUUGAGAGGAUGAUCAGCCACACUGGGACUGAGACACGGCCCAGACUCCUACGGGAGGCAGCAGUAGGGAAUAUUGGACAAUGGGGGAAACCCUGAUCCAGCAAUGCAGCGUGAGUGACGAAGGCCUUAGGGUUGUAAAACUCUUUCAUCGGUGAGGAUAAUGACAGUAGCCGAAGAAGAAGGACCGGCUAAUUCCGUGCCAGCAGCCGCGGUAAUACGGAAGGUCCUAGCGUUGUUCGGAAUUACUGGGCGUAAAGCGCAUGUAGGCGGAACAAAAAGUUAGAAGUGAAAUCCCUGGGCUCAACCUAGGAAUUGCUUUUAAAACUUUUGUUCUGGAAUUCAGGAGAGGAAAAUGGAAUUUCCAGUGUAGAGGUGAAAUUCGUAGAUAUUGGAAGGAACACCAGUGGCGAAGGCGAUUUUCUGGACUGAUAUUGACGCUGAGAUGCGAAGGCAUGGGUAGCAAACGGGAUUAGAUACCCCGGUAGUCCAUGCAGUAAACGAUGGGUGCUAGUCGUCGGACUUUUGUUCGGUGUCGUAGCUAACGCGUUAAGCACCCCGCCUGGGGAGUACGGUCGCAAGAUUAAAACUCAAAUAAAUUGACGGGGGACCCGCACAAGCAGUGGAGCAUGUGGUUUAAUUCGACGCAACGCGAAGAACCUUACCAGCGUUUGACAUGGGAAGUGCCGGUUACAGAAUGGUAACCCUUCAGUUCGGCUGGCUUCCACACAGGUGCUGCAUGGCUGUCGUCAGCUCGUGUCGUGAGAUGUUGGGGUUAAGUCCCGCAACGAGCGCAACCCUUUAUCGUUAGUUACUAACAGUU
rnacentral:rRNA from 1 species